CCUAGUAACGGCGAGUGAAGCGGGAAAAGCUCAAAUUUGAAAUCUGGCGGUCUACGGCCGUCCGAGUUGUAGUCUAGAGAGGUGUCUUCUGCGUCGGACCAUGCACAAGUCCCUUGGAACAGGGCGUCAUAGAGGGUGAGAAUCCCGUCCGUGGCAUGGACUCCCGGUGCUUUGUGAUGCGCCUUCGAAGAGUCGAGUUGUUUGGGAAUGCAGCUCAAAAUGGGUGGUAAAUUCCAUCUAAGGCUAAAUACAGGCGAGAGACCGAUAGCGAACAAGUACCGUGAGGGAAAGAUGAAAAGCACUUUGGAAAGAGAGUUAAACAGUACGUGAAAUUGUUGAAAGGGAAACGCUUGGAGUCAGUCGCGUUUGCCGGGACUCAGCCUUGCUUCUGCUUGGUGCACUUCCUGGUACACGGGCCAGCAUCGAUUUUGAUCGCCGGAAAAAGGCUUGGGGAAGGUGGCACCUUCGGGUGUGUUAUAGCCCCUUGUUGUAUACGGUGGUUGGGAUUGAGGACCGCAGCACGCCUUUUGGUCGGGGUUCGCCCACGCCACGUGCUUAGGAUGCUGGCGUAAUGGCUUUAAACGACCCGUCUUGAAACACGGACCAAGGAGUCUAACAUGCCUGCGAGUGUUUGGGUGUAAAACCCAGGCGCGUAAUGAAAGUGAAAGGUUGGGACUCUUCGCUGAGGCACCGACGCCCGAUCCUGACGUUCUCUGACGGAUUUGAGGUAGAGCAUGUAUGUUGGGACCCGAAAGAUGGUGAACUAUGCCUGAAUAGGGCGAAGCCAGAGGAAACUCUGGUGGAGGCUCGUAGCGAUUCUGACGUGCAAAUCGAUCGUCAAAUUUGGGUAUAGGGGCGAAAGACUAAUCGAACCAUCUAGUAGCUGGUUCCUGCCGAAGUUUCCCUCAGGAUAGCAGAAACUCGCAUCAGUUUUAUGUGGUAAAGCGAAUGAUUAGAGGCCUUGGGGUUGAAACAACCUUAACCUAUUCUCAAACUUUAAAUAUGUAAGAUCGGGCCGUCUCUUGAUUGGACCGCCGGGCGAAAGAGAGUUUCUAGUGGGCCAUUUUUGGUAAGCAGAACUGGCGAUGCGGGAUGAACCGAUGGCGAGGUUAAGGUGCCGGAUGCAGCUCAUCAAAACCCCAAAAGGGUUAGUUCAUCUAGACGCAGGACGUGGCCUGGAGUCGAACCCGCUAAGGAUGGUAAAACUAACUGCCGAAGAACUACCCUGAAAAGGA
rnacentral:rRNA from 1 species